rnacentral:rRNA from 1 species
GAUGAACGCUGGCGGCGUGCCUAAUACAUGCAAGUCGAGCGAAGCGGGGACGGGUGAGUAACACGUGGAUAACCUCCUAUAAGACUGGGAUAAAUUCGGGAAACCGGAGCUAAACCGGAUAAUUAUAGAUGGAUUCGCGCUGCAUUGGCUAGGUGGUAAGGUAACAGCUGACCAAGGCAAAGAUGCAUAGCCGACCUGAGAGGGUGAGCGGCCACACUGGAAGUGAGACACGGUCCAGACGCCUACGGGGGGAAGCAGUAGGGAAUCUUCCGCAAGGGGCAAAAGCCUGACGGAGCAACGCCGCGUGAUUGAUGAAGGUCUUCGGAUCGUAAAACUCUGUUAUUAGGGAAGCGGUACCUAAUCAGAAAGCCACGGCUAACUACGUGCCAGCAGCCGCGGUAAUAC